AGAAGUUGGGGCGCCUGGGUGGCUCAGUGGGUUAAGCAUCCGACUUCAGCUCAGGUCAUGAUCUCACAGUCCGUGAGUUCGAGCCCCACAUUGGGUGAGCUCAUGCCCCACUUCCGGUGA